rnacentral:tRNA from 1 species
UAUUAGCUCAGUUGGUUAGAGCGCGCCCCUGAUAAGGGUGAGGUCUCUGGUUCAAAUCCAG